AAUCCAUGGGGCAAGCGAGGGACGGCUGAGUCCCUUUGGUUUCUCUGGGCCACCUCGAAACAUAAUGAAGCCUGGCGCCCAGCCAAGGCACGCACACACACACACACACACACACAGCUUCCUUCUCUUUGUGUGUGUAUCUCUAUCACACACACACGCCAAAAUGAGCCACCAACUUCCCAACCAACGCAUCUCCCAAAUCCUGGAACUAAACGGCUCAACGGGAGCUCUACUCAAAAGCAGGGAAAGCGUCCCAAAUCUUCCUCCAGCCCCCUCUCCACCUCCCCUGACUUGGGACUGAACGGCCUCUGAUCCCAGGAGAAACUCCCUUCCAAGGAAAAGAUAAAUCCUCUGGACAUUUCAAUACAGCAAAAAGCUGUCUAAAUAUCCUAAAGGCACCAGAUCCCAUCUGAUCUUGGAAGCUAAACAGCAUCUCGAUCUGCCUCUUCUACUGAUAGAAGAGUCCUGGGCAGGAGAUCAUUAGGAGUCAAUAGAACAUCCUUGCUUCCACAUGUGAAGCUCUGGAAAGGAGCAAGAUGACUGACUUCACAGACUAGCAUUUGUGGGAGAAGAAAAGAGAAGACAUAUAUAGGAUUCUACUUCUCCUUUGCAAUACACUGUAUUUCCUUGUAUAUCUCAUAGUUUCAGAAGUAAAACUAAUGUAAGAAGUUUG